AAGAAAUCUGUGCUAAACAGACACAUUGGGUUUUGUGGGGGCAGGAGUGGAGUUGUAGAGAAGAGCCGCCUUGUUUCCAAUCCAGGAAGUUGGCCCUCAAUCCUCCUGCGAUGAGAAAUGAGAGAACAUUCUUCUCACCUUCUACUUGGUGAGAAAGAAGAUUUGCCAGAAAACAGGCACCGCCUCAGAUUAUGCCAUGACUUUUCCUGCCUAGUGAAAAUCUAUAUCCCUGUCAGCAGAGUUGCAUCCUUGGAAGGAAGAUUCAUAAAGGCAGCCAUCUGUCAGGGAAAUAGAUGUCCUGUGUUUACGCUGAGACUGGCUCUGCUCAGACUUGCCCUUGGAAGGUGCCCAGUCUGGAGUGCACUGCAGUUUGCUCUUGUUGGCGGCAAUCACUUUGCCUUUCACGGGAAUUUAAGAGUCAAGACCUGGCAUGAUAAACUCGUAUGACUCAAGGGUCAUCUUGACUGAGUUUGAAUCCUAGUCCUGCCACUUAUUAUUAUGAUGGAUUUGUCUAUUAUUUAGCCUUUCUAAGCCUCAGUUUGCUCUUAUGUUAAAUCAAUACCAGAAUGCCAAUGUGUUAGAAUGAUUUCUAGAGUUUGAUGAUACACUGUAGGUGAAGUGACUAUCAUCUCACCUAACAAAUAGUUCUCACUCAUUAAAUGUCACUUACCCCCAGCCGUUCUGGUGAUGCCAGUGCUGGACAGGAUCAUGUGCAUGAAGGGAAGAUAACACCGCUACAGUCACCUCAAGCUCCAGGAAAACAGGAAGCAGUUGGAAAAUAAGGUCUUCCCAGGCCCUCCUUCUGCCAACUCACAGAACCAGGGCCUUGGGGAUCCAUAAGGCUCAGAGAUGAGGACAAUUCAUCAUUUUGCACCAGCUCUUCCACUGGUUUAAACCAGUACAGGCUGGUUGAAAAAUUCUCCACAUGGCAGGAUUAGCUCUCAUGAGACCAGAUCACUUGGCAGAGCUUCCUGGAUAUCAGACCACUGUAUUUACCUUAAGAAAAUCCUUCAAAUCUGCUAAUUACAGAGAGUCCUCAUUGCCACACCAAUGUAUUAUAUCGGCUGUCAGAAAGAUGUUCUACAGGGAGAAUACAGCUUUAAAUUCUGGGUUGUCGAGAUUAAACAUUAACUCCUUUACAUGGACACAUGGGAUCCAAACUGAGAAAGGAAAUUAAGAAGUUGAGAAGAUUCUGGAAAAUAAAGAAAUGCAGCAAGUUUAAAAUAUCUGGCACCAAAUCAGAAGGGAGAAGUUCAUCUGAUGUGCUUUGAGAAACCUGGCCCCUAUAAACAACUGAUUUGAUGUUUAUUUACAGCAAAUGGAUCGACUAAAGUCUGAGUUUUAGUUGCAUCAACAGGAUCCAAUAGGUGUGGAAUUUCAAAGUGAUGUGCCAGACUGCAGAGUGGACAUGUCUCAGGAGGUGUUCUAGGAUGAUGAGAGAACUCUCGAGUUCACAAGGAAGGUAGAAACAGGUCGAGCAGUGAGAAGCUCAACUGUGGAUUGUGAAGAGUUGCUGUUUAUGCUCUUAGGUCCACCCUGCUAAGAAUGAGGCGAGUGUACCCCCUUUCAUCCAAAGCUGAGUGACAGGCAACCUCAAAGAAACCACUCCUUGCAGUUAUGACACUCAGUAGAGAAAGUGUCUGACACAGGCUUGGGUUAUCUUAAAAAAAGAGAUGGUAGCUAGUGGCCUGAAGCAUCAGGGGAGAGAGGAGAGAGAGAAUGAAUUGGAACGUCAAUGCAAACUUCACUAUAACCAAAAAACAAAAACAGCAUCUUAAAGAAUGGAUGAAAAUCUUGUGUCCAGUUUUAUGCUUUUAUGAAUAAUGUACUAUGAAUAUUAAAUAAAGUAUCAAUUUUAUUUAUAAAAAAGAAUGAAUGAAUUUUUCCCAUGCAUUUUUCCAAGGUCCAGAGUUGAGUGCAUAAGCUGACUUGUCCUUUUAAACCUUGCCCAUUACAGUGCUUGAAAUAAUGGCGGGGGUUCCAACAGUGAGAAUUCUGUGUGAAAUGAAUCCAGGAGAACAAAAUAGCCUAAGUUGGAGCAUAUGCCUGAUGAGGGAGGUGUGCACUGCCCAGCUGGAGUGGCUCAGUGGAUGGAGCAUCUG